GGGGAUGUAGCUCAAUUGGCAAGAGCGUCGGCCUGUCAAGCCGGAAGAUCGGGGUUCGAACCCCCGUGUUCCCGCCA
rnacentral:tRNA from 1 species